CUAACCUCAGGGAAACUCCAUAGAAUACCCCAAGUUACAUAUAAUCUUGAACCUAUCUGUGGAAGAGUUGCUGAUACUGGAGAUCUUACCAAACCUAUCUUGGUGGGAUUUACCUCUAAAAUGGCGGCGGUUUGAGCUAAAAGAAGAGGCUUUUCGACAGCAUCAUAGACAUGUUCAUGCCCAGACUCUUUCAGAGUUUUCACAGCAAGAUAAAAUACUUGAAACCUGAAAUUUCCAAUUACCCAAAUUAAAAUUGAAAAAAAAAAAAAAAGAGUAGAACAA